AUACGAUUUAAACGCAAUUACUAAGGACGUUGGAAAGGGGGCAAAAGAGAAGAAAGAAUCAAUGUGAGCUACACAGACAGCCCAAAAGCCCUAUGGGGAGAAUCAUGUGGUGAGAAACUGAAGCCUCCUGCCAACAGCUGCAUGAAUGAGCUUAGAAGGGGAUACUCCAGCUCCUCCAGAAACUGCAGCACCAGCUGACGGUUUGACUGCAACAUCAUAAGAGACUCUGAAAUCUGAACCACAUAGCUCAGUCAUUCCCAAAUCCUGAGCCUCAGAAACCAUGUGAGAUAAUAAUGUCCAUUGUUUCAAGCUGCUAUAUUUUGGGGUAAUUUGUUACACAGCAAUAGAUUAUUAAUACAGAUAUCCAGUCUCCCCACUGUGUGCCCUUCCUACUCCUGAUUACUGCUCCUCAUCCAUGAAGAGAUGAAGUUUUUCCUCCACUUAUAGCUGAGCUGGCCCUGUGACUGAUUUGAGCAAUAGAAGGCUGAAAGAAUGACAUUCUAGAAUUUCCUAGCAGCUUCCACUUACCACCACUUGGAACUCAGAUACAUGCAAUGAGCAACCAAAGCCACAUGGAAAGGAUGUGUAGAGGAGAACCAAGGUGCUCCGUUUGGCAUUUCCAGUUGAGCUUCCAGCCAACAGCCAGCGCUGACUCUGCACCAUAUCUUGGACAUCCCACCCAGCUGAGUCCUCCAGAUGACUGUAGACUCCCCCAAUGCCAUGUGAAACAAAAUUGUCCAGUCAACUGAAAGAAUUGUGAAAAAUAAUAAAUCAUUCUUGUUAUUUUAAGUUA